CUGUUCCAGACUACAAGGGCAAAUAUGGUUUUCAGAUUCUGGUUUUAUGGGCGGAUUAAAGUUUAUUUUCCAUAAUAGGGCACCUAAUAAAACUCAUAAAGCUCUGUCAGUCUUACAGCUGGUGGCCCCAUUUAACACUUUCACUUCGUAAAUCACAGCACAGCUUGCCAGGUGUUUCCAAAACUGGAAGCAGAGAGAAGAGAAGAGAAGAGAAGAGAAGAGAAGAGAAUAAUCAAAUCAGAUCAGAUCAGAUCUGGAAGCAGCGGUGUAGCGGCGCGAUCUCAGCGGGAGAGAAAAAGAGCGCACCAGUCUGUAGCGUAACAACGCGGACCCCCACGUGCAGCCACAAAGCGGAACCGCGGGCUGGUAAGCCCCGCCCACAGCGCGGGAGCAAGCCCCAGCUGUCGGCGCUCCCGGCUUGCUCCGGAGUGGAUCCGGAUGCGAAGCCUCCGUGGAAACGCGCCUCGGGGCGGCAGGGCCCUGCGGGGAACGCGGCUCUCUCCACUCUCCCGGCUGCGCUGGCCAGGCGGCUAAGUAUGGGGAGCUCUCGGGGCUUAGGCAUGGAUGUCAUUAGCCGCCGACUCGUAAGAAUGAAGUGCUAUCACAGAAGAGCUGCAAUAAGAUCCACAUGUUCCAGUUCAGUUCCAGCCAGCUGAGAGCAAAUGAAAAUUACCAUGUGGUCAUUAUUCAGUGACAGUUGUGGAUUAGAAAGGACAGUAGCAAUUCCCACUUACACCUUCAAAAUACAACUGGAGCUGGAUUGUGGUUGUCCCCAUGGAAGGGGGACAUUUGCCCAGUUAGAGCUGGGUUGCUUUGCUGGAUAGAACUGACCUUUGGACAGCCAGGAGGAAGAACGGACCCGUAUUUCUAACAGAUGACAAACCAUUGGAGCAAACUGCCAGGGCUUCUCUUGACAUUCUCCACUAGAGCCUGGAUUCCUUUCUGGAAAGCUCCAGCCAAACACAAGUUCUCUGCAGUGGUGAGCUUUUGAAAUGUAAUCGUCUGUGAUAUACAGGAGGUCAGACUAGAUGAUCUAAUGGCUUUCUCUGGCCUUAAACUCUGUGAAUCCAUAAAGCACGUCUUGCUGUAGCAGCUCGGUUCUAUUUUAUAAAUGUUAAUGAGUAAUUACAUUAGAUUGUCCACAAUCAUUGACGUUAAUCACUGUCCUUUUGCCAGGAAUAAUAAA